rnacentral:ncRNA from 1 species
GCAACUCUGGAGAACUCAUUGAAUUGGGUGCCGAAGGUGCAAGACCGCAGCGGUCGAAUCUCUCAGGCAAAGGGACAGGGGCAG